rnacentral:lncRNA from 1 species
GUCGGUUCGGGCACGCCGACAGACCGCCGAACGGACAGAGCCUCCCCUGUCCGUCCAAGGCUCAACAAAAUAAGUACAUUGAAUUUCACAUAGGAAAAACAAUACAAUACAGUUUUGCGUGAGGGCAUAUCAUAAGAGCGACAAUGUAAACCUAACUAUUACAAUAUUGAACAUUCACAUUUUUACAUCCACUUCUUCACUUACAAACAUAAAUCUCUUUCCAAAAUACAAUUACAUUUGCUUCCCAAAUUACAUUUACAUUCUUGCUUAUACAUAG